UUUUAAGAUUGAUUCUGUGGUAUGUGGUGUCUACUUUCGACUUUCCAGUCAAGAGUCAAGUGUCAUGGGACAUGACAGACGACUGUUGACGAUGACAAAUUUAUGAAUACUACAGUUACAAAUUAUAAAUAAUUAUAAGACUUUUAGAAUAAACUCAAAGUUUGAAAAAUUAUUUAUUUGUAGUGCAAGAACAGAAGUAUUUUUAUGAAAAUAUUAUUUAAAAACUCUGCUUUCACCGACAAGAUUCGGAAAUUUAUUGUUAUUCAUCAUCAAUCAAUAUGAUGAUAAUUGACUCCUGAACAAUGGAUCAAAGCAAAAAAGUGACAAAAAUUGCCAUUAGAAAAAAAAUAACUAAUCAUUAACUAACAGAUCAGAAAAUGAAUAACAGAAACGACCGCAGCAAAAUAAGUUUGGGAAUGCUAAAAGGUAAAUCCGCGACUACUUC